ACAUGCUGUGAGCUCGAUGAGUAGGGCGGGACACGUGGUAUCCUGUCUGAAUAUGGGGGGACCAUCCUCCAAGGCUAAAUACUCCUGACUGACCGAUAGUGAACCAGUACCGUGAGGGAAAGGCGAAAAGAACCCCGGCGAGGGGAGUGAAAAAGAACCUGAAACCGUGUACGUACAAGCAGUGGGAGCACAGAGCAAUCUGUGUGACUGCGUACCUUUUGUAUAAUGGGUCAGCGACUUAUAUUCUGUAGCAAGGUUAACCGAAUAGGGGAGCCGAAGGGAAACCGAGUCUUAACUGGGCGUUAAGUUGCAGGGUAUAGACCCGAAACCCGGUGAUCUAGCCAUGGGCAGGUUGAAGGUUGGGUAACACUAACUGGAGGACCGAACCGACUAAUGUUGAAAAAUUAGCGGAUGACUUGUGGCUGGGGGUGAAAGGCCAAUCAAACCGGGAGAUAGCUGGUUCUCCCCGAAAGCUAUUUAGGUAGCGCCUCGUGAAUUCAUCUCCGGGGGUAGAGCACUGUUUCGGCAAGGGGGUCAUCCCGACUUACCAACCCGAUGCAAACUGCGAAUACCGGAGAAUGUUAUCACGGGAGACACACGGCGGGUGCUAACGUCCGUCGUGAAGAGGGAAACAACCCAGACCGCCAGCUAAGGUCCCAAAGUCAUGGUUAAGUGGGAAACGAUGUGGGAAGGCCCAGACAGCCAGGAUGUUGGCUUAGAAGCAGCCAUCAUUUAAAGAAAGCGUAAUAGCUCACUGGUCGAGUCGGCCUGCGCGGAAGAUGUAACGGGGCUAAACCAUGCACCGAAGCUGCGGCAGCGACGCUUAUGCGUUGUUGGGUAGGGGAGCGUUCUGUAAGCCUGUGAAGGUGUACUGUGAGG
rnacentral:rRNA from 1 species